UACAGAGGGUGCAAGCGUUGUUCGGAAUUAUUGGGCGUAAAGCGCGUGUAGGCGGUUAUCUAAGUCUGGUGUGAAAGCCCGAGGCUUAACCUCGGAAGUGCACUGGAUACUGGAUAACUAGAGGGCGAGAGGGGGAAAUGGAAUUCCUGGUGUAGGGGUGAAAUCCGUAGAUAUCAGGAGGAACAUCAGUGGCGAAGGCGAUUUCCUGGCUCGUUUCUGACGCUCAGACGCGAAAGCGUGGGUAGCAAACAGG
rnacentral:rRNA from 1 species